rnacentral:rRNA from 1 species
GACGAACGCUGGCGGUGUGCUUAACACAUGCAAGUCGAACGGUAAGGCCCUUUCGGGGGUACACGAGUGGCGAACGGGUGAGUAACACGUGAGUAACCUGCCCUCAUCUCUGGGAUAACAGUCGGGAACGGUUGCUAAUACUGGAUAUGAGCUUGCAAGGCAUCUUGUGGGUUGGAAAGAUUUUUUUUGGUUGGGGAUGGACUCGCGGCCUAUCAGCUUGUUGGUGAGGUAGUGGCUCACCAAGGCUUCGACGGGUAGCCGGCCUGAGAGGGCGACCGGCCACAUUGGGACUGAGAUACGGCCCAAACUCCUACGGGAGGCAGCAGUGGGGAAUAUUGCACAAUGGACGGAAGUCUGAUGCAGCAACGCCGCGUGCGGGAUGACGGCCUUCGGGUUGUAAACCGCUUUCAAUUGUGACGAAGCUUUUUUGUGACGGUAGCAGUAGAAGAAGCACCGGCUAACUACGUG